AACGAACGCUGGCGGCAUGCCUAACACAUGCAAGUCGAACGAGACCUUCGGGUCUAGUGGCGCACGGGUGCGUAACGCGUGGGAACCUGCCCUUAGGUUCGGAAUAACUCCCCGACAGGGGUGCUAAUACCGGAUAAUGUCUUCGGACCAAAGAUUUAUCGCCUUUGGAUGGGCCCGCGUUGGAUUAGCUAGUUGGUAGGGUAAAAGCCUACCAAGGCGACGAUCCAUAGCUGGUCUGAGAGGAUGAUCAGCCACACUGGGACUGAGACACGGCCCAGACUCCUACGGGAGGCAGCAGUGGGGAAUAUUGGACAACGGGCGAAAGCCUGAUCCAGCAAUGCCGCGUGAGUGAUGAAGGCCUUAGGGUUGUAAAGCUCUUUUACCCGGGAUGAUAAUGACAGUACCGGGAGAAUAAGCUCCGGCUAACUCCGUG
rnacentral:rRNA from 1 species